GGCCCCUUAGCUCAGCUGGAUAGAGCGCCUGCCUUCUAAGCAGGUUGUCGCAGGUUCGAUUCCUGCAGGGGUCGCCA
rnacentral:tRNA from 1 species